rnacentral:rRNA from 1 species
GUGGGGAAUAUUGGACAAUGGGGGGAACCCUGAUCCAGCCAUGCCGCGUGUGUGAAGAAGGCCUUUUGGUUGUAAAGCACUUUAAGCGAGGAGGAGGCUACCGAGAUUAAUACUCUUGGAUAGUGGACGUUACUCGCAGAAUAAGCACCGGCUAACUCUGUGCCAGCAGCCGCGGUAAUACAGAGGGUGCAAGCGUUAAUCGGAUUUACUGGGAGUAAAGCGCGCGUAGGUGGCCAAUUAAGUCAAAUGUGAAAUCCCCGAGCUUAACUUGGGAAUUGCAUUCGAUACUGGUUGGCUAGAGUAUGGGAGAGGAUGGUAGAAUUCCAGGUGUAGCGGUGAAAUGCGUAGAGAUCUGGAGGAAUACCGAUGGCGAAGGCAGCCAUCUGGCCUAAUACUGACACUGAGGUGCGAAAGCAUGGGGAGCAAACAGGAUUAGAAACCCGAGUAGUCC